CGAAGACGGACGAUGAACCAUGCGUCGGCACAUUGACCAUGGCCUUGUGUAGGCUGGCGACGCGGAUCUGCGUUCCCACUCCCACGGACAGGUCAGAGCUCUCCCGUCGCAUCACUGGUGGGGCUUACGUUAUUGGCCUGCUCAUAAGAGAGAUUUCUUCAGUUCAUAAAAUAAUUGGCUUCAAUAGACAAAAUAAUCAAUUUAUCAAUUAUUUUAUAAAGUUAAUACCAACCAAUCAGUACUGUUAUCUCGGCGCUCCAACUUUUUGAUCUGCUCCAUGAUGAUAUUCGUAUAGAAGGCUUUAGAUUGCAGCUU
rnacentral:lncRNA from 1 species